rnacentral:rRNA from 1 species
CGGGGUCGGAACUUCGGUUCCGGCUUACGUGGCGCACGGGUGAGUAACACGUGGGAAUCUGCCCAUCUAUGGGGAAUAACUGCGGGAAACUGCAGCUAAUACCGCAUACGCCCUUCGGGGGAAAGGCUUCGGCCGUAGAUGGAUGAGCCCGCGUCCGAUUAGCUAGUUGGUGGGGUAAUGGCCUACCAAGGCGACGAUCGGUAGCUGGUCUGAGAGGAUGAUCAGCCACACUGGGACUGAGACACGGCCCAGACUCCUACGGGAGGCAGCAGUGGGGAAUAUUGGACAAUGGGCGAAAGCCUGAUCCAGCAAUGCCGCGUGAGUGAUGAAGGUCUUCGGAUUGUAAAGCUCUUUCGACGGGGAAGAUAAUGACGGUACCCGUAGAAGAAGCCCCGGCUAACUUCGUGCCAGCAGCCGCGGUAAUACGAAGGGGGCUAGCGUUGUUCGGAUUUACUGGGCGUAAAGCGUGCGUAGGCGGCUUAUCAAGUCAGAAGUGAAAGCCCGGGGCUCAACUCCGGAAUGGCUUUUGAGACUGGUAGGCUGGAGUUCGGGAGAGGGUAGUGGAAUUCCCAGUGUAGAGGUGAAAUUCGUAGAUAUUGGGAAGAACACCGGUGGCG